UGCAUUUUUUGGUAAGACGAUGUUAACAAAAGUUGUUCGUCUUGAUGAGGGCUACAACUUUGCUUAAUAUCCUUUUAACAAAUGAUGCGUAUUUUAAGAAGAUAGCGCAGCGCAUGCGCAGAAGGUAUCUCCUUACGCUUGCAUUUUGUGGUAAGACGAUGUUAACAAAAGUUGUUCGUCUUGAUGAGGGCUACAACUUUGCUUAAUAUCCUUUUAACAAAUUAUGCG